UGAGGAAUAUUGGUCAAUGGGCGAGAGCCUGAACCAGCCAAGUAGCGUGCAGGACGACGGCCCUAUGGGUGUAAACUGCUUUUAUGCGGGGAUAACGUGCACCACGUGUGGUGUAUUGCAGGUACCGCAUGAAUAAGGACCGGCUAAUUCCGUGCCAGCAGCCGCGGUAAUACGGAAGGUCCGGGCGUUAUCCGGAUUUAUUGGGUUUAAAGGGUGCGUAGGCUGUUUGUUAAGUCAGGGGUGAAAUACCGCAGCUCAACUGUGGAAUUGCCCUUGAUACUGGCAGGCUUGAAUACUGUUGCCGUGGAAGGAAUGAGUAGUGUAGCGGUGAAAUGCAUAGAUAUUACUCAGAACACCGAUUGCGAAGGCAUCUCACGAAGCAGGCAUUGACGCUGAGGCACGAAAGCGUGGGGAUCAAACAGGAUUAGAUACCCUGGUAGU
rnacentral:rRNA from 1 species